CAUAGACUAGAAUAUUUUGUCUUGAUUGUCUAUAUUUUAAUACCUACUCUGUAUAAUAUUAUGCUCUGUACAAAAUAGUAAUUUUGACAUUCGGCACAAAAUUCAACUUCAACAUGAUCGAGUGAAUAAGCAAAAGUUCCAGUUAUUUUAGUAUCAAAAUGAUAAGUGGCAGUACCUGCAUGACCAUUAAUGCAGCAAUAUUGCUAUGUCUUAUUGUGGAUGGUGCUUUGGGUAUAGGCUUCUUUGCAAACAUACGGAAACGCUGUGAAGAUGGGAAGAAGAGGAAAAAUAGAAAGGUUAAGUGUUCUGUCCCAGAAGGCUGCAAAAAAUCUAAAUGCACGAUAUUAUGAAGAAAAGUAUUGAUGGUGUAAAGUGAAAGUGUUGUCUACGUUUGCAAUAAUAAUCGAAAUUUCUGGUCACUCUAUAUUUGCGUUUAUUUGAUAUACACCAACUCUCCAUUCACUCAGUAAAUACAAAAAUAUUAUACUUAAUUAACUCAAAUUAAUAAAGGAAAUAAAGGUGAUAUGAAAUGUUGUUAUUGGCAAUGCUUGGCUUGAAUCAAAUUUGGAGCACAAAACAAUAGAAAGAAGUAUUGACCUUGCUAAAGAAAAUGAAAUUGUAAAUAAAAAUAAAAACCUUGAUGUCUAUUCCAAACUGUCAAAAGGACCUUAUGUGAUUAUAAAAAUGACGUUUCGUAACAUAAAAUAAACAUAAACUUUAUUCGUUUGAAAACAGCACUAAAAUCUCAUCAUGUGAAUCUUCAGGCUAAAUAAUUUGGAAAACAUCCAUGAGGGAUUACAUUGAAACACAAUGUUCUGUGGGAUACCGAUUAGUUGUGUGACCUUAAAUUGCUUUCUGAUAUUGUUUUGCAUCUUGGACGGAGCUCUCGACUGUGGGAUCAUCAGGAAAUUCCAGUACAUCAUGAAGUGUGUCCUACACAAGACACAGGAGAGGAAGAAAUGCGCAUGUGGUGCUUGUUCAAUACUAUAAAACUCUAUUUAAAAAUACAGGUAAUUUAUUAACAAGA